UACGGAGGGGGCUAGCGUUGUUCGGAAUUACUGGGCGUAAAGCGCACGUAGGCGGCUUUGUAAGUUAGAGGUGAAAGCCCAGGGCUUAACCCUGGAAUUGCCUUUAAGACUGCAUCGCUAGAAUCGUGGAGAGGUGAGUGGAAUUCCGAGUGUAGAGGUGAAAUUCGUAGAUAUUCGGAAGAACACCAGUGGCGAAGGCGAUUCACUGGACACGGUAUUGACGCUGAGGUGCGAAAAGCGUGGGGAGCAAACAGG
rnacentral:rRNA from 1 species